CUUAGCGUCUAUGGCAUCGCUUGAGGUCAAGAGCCCGCGCCGAGCCUAAUGGCGAUCAGGGGCGAUGGAAAGCUGGCGGUGAUCUGGCCUCCCCGCAGAAAGGCUUCCGAGAACGGCCUGGAGCAGGAGGAGCGGAAGCCUUGAGGUUAGAGCAGGCUGGGAUCCCCGGCCGAAAGUAACAUGCCCGUCAGAGGACCGGACAAGAGGAGCCCACGCGUGCUCUCGGGAUAAGCAGACGUCCCGAAGAGGGACCCGCGGUCUGCGCUAGGGAAGAUGAAGCCUACCAGCCCAUCCUUGAACUUCAUUUUGUGAAACUGAUUCGUUUCUGCUACAAAACUGUUAUUUUCCAUUGGCAAAUACCACUACAACCACCUAACCAAUGAAACGGUCCAGCCCUUCUGCACCCAACUGGAAACCGAGCGAGCCUCUCCGUCCGGUCUUGACCGGGGUCACCGUCUCGGCUUCCCCAUCCCCCAAUAAAGUCCCUUCUUGCUGGGCA